rnacentral:rRNA from 1 species
CAGGCCUAACACAUGCAAGUCGAGCGGACAGAAGGGAGCUUGCUCCCGGAUGUUAGCGGCGGACGGGUGAGUAACACGUGGGUAACCUGCCUGUAAGACUGGGAUAACUCCGGGAAACCGGAGCUAAUACCGGAUAGUUCCUUGAACCGCAUGGUUCAAGGAUGAAAGACGGUUUCGGCUGUCACUUACAGAUGGACCCGCGGCGCAUUAUCUAGUUGGUGAGGUAAC